rnacentral:rRNA from 1 species
AACGAACGCUGGCGGCAUGCCUAACACAUGCAAGUCGAACGAGACCUUCGGGUCUAGUGGCGCACGGGUGCGUAACGCGUGGGAACCUGCCCUUAGGUUCGGAAUAACUCCCCGAAAGGGGUGCUAAUACCGGAUAAUGUCUUCGGACCAAAGAUUUAUCGCCUUUGGAUGGGCCCGCGUUGGCUAAGCUAGUUGGUAGGGUAAAAGCCUACCAAGGCGACGAUCCAUAGCUGGUCUGAGAGGAUGAUCAGCCACACUGGGACUGAGACACGGCCCAGACUCCUACGGGAGGCAGCAGUGGGGAAUAUUGGACAAUGGGCGAAAGCCUGAUCCAGCAAUGCCGCGUGAGUGAUGAAGGCCUUAGGGUUGUAAAGCUCUUUUACCCGGGAUGAUAAUGACAGUACCGGGAGAAUAAGCUCCGGCUAACUCCGUG